UGAGUCCGAGGAGCUACGGCUCUUAAGUGAUACGAGUCAGACUUCCCAGAAAAGCCCGAACCACGUUAAUUUCUAAUUACCUGUACCCGAAACCGACACAGGUGGGUAGGUAGAGUAUACUAAGGGGCGCGAGAUAACUCUCUCUAAGGAACUCGGCAAAAUGACUCCGUAACUUCGGGAGAAGGGGUGCCUUAUUUAUAAGGUUGCAAUAACAAGAUCCAAGCAACUGUUUAUCAAAAACACAGGUCUCCGCUAAGUCGUAAGACGAUGUAUGGGGGCUGACGCCUGCCCAGUGCCAGAAGGUUAAAGAAGUUGGUUAGUGUAUGCGAAGCUGAUGACUGAAGCCCUGGUGAACGGCGGCCGUAACAAUAACGGUCCUAAGGUAGCGAAAUUCCUUGUCGGGUAAGUUCCGACCCGCACGAAAGGCGUAAUGAUUUGGAUACUGUCUCGGAGAGAGGCUCGGUGAAAUAGACUUGUCUGUGAAGAUGCGGACUACCUGCACCAGGACAGAAAGACCCUAUGAAGCUUUACUGUAACUUGAAAUUGGAAUUGGACUUUGCUUGCGCAGUAUAGGUGGGAAGCGUUGAAGAUAUUCUUGCGGGAGUAUUGGAGCUAUCAGUGAGAUACCACUCUUGUAAUGUUAGAUUUCUAACUUUGAACCAUAAUCUGGUCAAAGAACAGUUUCAGGUGGGCAGUUUGACUGGGGCGGUCGCCUCCCAAAUGGUAACGGAGGCGUACAAAGGUUUCCUCUGAACGGAUAGAAAUCGUAUCUAGAGUGUAAAGGCAUAAGGAAGCUUGACUGUGAGACCUACAAGUCGAGCAGGGACGAAAGUCGGUCUUAGUGAUCUGACGGUACUGAGUGGAAAGGCCGUCACUCAACGGAUAAAAGUUACUCUAGGAUAACAGGCUGAUCUCCCCCAAGAGUUCACAUCGACGGGGAGGUUUGGCACCUCGAUGUCGGCUCAUCGCAUCCUGGGGCGGUAGUACGUCCCAAGGGUUGGGCUGUUCGCCCAUGAAAGCGGUACGCGAGCUGGGUUCAGAACGUCGUGAGACAGUUCGGUCCAUAUCCGGUGUAGGCGUUAGAAUAUUGAGAGGAGCCUUCUUUAGUACGAGAGGACCGAGAAGGACACACCGCUGGUGUACCAGUUAUCGUGCCAACGGUAAACGCUGGGUAGCUAUGUGUGGAGUGGAUGACCGCUGAAAGCAUCUAAGUGGGAAGCCCACCUCAAGAU
rnacentral:rRNA from 1 species